UUUGAUAUUUUAUGUACAGUAUGUAAUAUAUAUUUCGUGUACUUUGAUAUUUUAUGUACAGUAUAUAAUAUGUAUUUUGUGUACUUUGAUAUUUUAUGUACAGUUUAUAAUAUGUAUUUGGUGUAGUUUGAUUUUUUAUGUACAGUAUAUAAUAUGUAUUUGGUGUAGUUUGAUAUUUUAUGUACAGUAUAUAAUGUGUAUUUGGUGUACUUUGAUAUUUUAU
rnacentral:lncRNA from 1 species